GGCUAAUUUUUGUAGUUUUAGUAGAGAUGGGGUUUCACCAUGUUGGUCAGGCUGGUCUGAAACUCCUGACCUCAAGUGAUCCGCCCGCCUCGGCCUCCCAAAGUGCUGGGAUUACAGGCAUGAGCCACUGCGCCAAGCUGAACAUCUUUAUUAAAUGCUCCUGCCAGGUUCUGGGCAGACAAGCUUUGAUUUACUUUCCCUUUCAAGAGCCAAGGGAAUAAAGCUACCAAGUACGAGUUGAUGAUUUGAACUAAUUCUGAAGAUUUGUGAAAAUGCUCAAAAUCCAAGUGGGGAGUGAAGAGCAGCCGCCUGACAACUAAAACUGGGAAAUGGGUGUUAUUUGUCUCACAGUCCCCGCUUGCCCCUGCCUGCGCUGCUCCAUCUCUUCCCCUCCUCCCUGCCACUUCAGGAGCCCAUGCCCUCUCCCCUUAUUGAAACCAAAACAAACACUGCUGUUCUAAAAGAAAGGAUGUGAAUAAUAGAAUCCUUCGAUAACUAGGAGGGCCUUUAGUGAGUUAUCUAAUCCAACUCCCUCAUUUUGUAAAAUACUUGUCACUCCACAUUUGGAAAUCUAAAUCUGGCCCUUUUUCCUUACAUCUUGGAAGGUUCUAAUUAUGUAUUUUCCUAGAAGUGGAAGAAAAGAAGUCACUUCUCAUCUGUUGGUCUCCUUCCUUUUCCUGGAGCCUGCGUCUCCAAGCAGAGAAGGGUAUUUUGUGGCACCUCAAAAGAGAAGCAAUAAAACAUUACACAUAUCCAUGCACCCAGUACCCUGAAGGGUUCCAAAGCCAUGUGAUAUGGUGUGGCCACGUGAUAUGGUGUGUCCCACCCAGAUCUCA
rnacentral:lncRNA from 1 species